rnacentral:rRNA from 1 species
GGUUCGAUCAUGGCUCAGAUUGAACGCUGGCGGGAUGCUUUACACAUGCAAGUCGAACGGCAGCACGGACUUCGGUCUGGUGGCGAGUGGCGAACGGGUGAGUAAUGUAUCGGAACGUGCCUAGUAGCGGGGGAUAACUACGCGAAAGCGUAGCCAAUACCGCAUACGCCCUUCGGGGGAAAGUGGGGACCUUUCGGGCCUCGCACUAUUAGAGCGGCCGAUAUCGGAUUAGCCAUUGGUGGGGUAACGGCUCACCAAGGCACGAUCCGUAGCUGGUUUGAGAGGACGACCAGCCACACUGGGACUGAGACACGGCCCAGACUCCUACGGGAGGCAGCAGGGAAUUUUGACAAUGGGGAAACCCUGAUCCAGCCAUCCUGGCAAAAAAGGAUGAAGGCCUUUGCCAGGUAAGACUUUUGGUAGAAGAAACGGCACGGGAUAAUACCCCGUGCAACUGAUUGGCAGUAAAUUCGUGAAAAUAAGGUCAACAUCAACUACGUGCCAGCAGCCGCGGUAAUACGUAGGGUGCAGCGUUAAUCGGAAUUACUGGCGUAAAGCGUGCGCAGGCGGUUCGGAAAGAAAGAUGUGAACCCAGAGCUUAACUUUGGAACUGCAUUUUUAACUACCGAGCUAGAGUGUGUCAGAGGGGAGGUGGAAUUCCAAGUGUAGCAGUGAAAUGCGUAGAUAUGCGGAGGAACACCGAUGGCGAAGGCAGCCUCCUCUGGGAUAACACUGACGCUCAUGCACGAAAGUGGAGCAAACGAGGAUUAGAUACCCGGUAGUCCACGCCCUAAACGAUGUCAACUAGGCUGUUGGGGCCCGGGGCCUUGUAGCGCAGCUAACGCGUGAAGUUGACCGCCUGGGGAGUACGGUCGCAAGAUUAAACCCAAAGGAAUUGACGGGACCGCACAAGCGUGGAUGAUGUGGAUUAAUUCGAUGCAACGCGAAAACCUUACCUACCCUUGACAUGUCUGGAAUCCCGAAGAGAUUUGGGAGUGCUCGCAAGAGAACCGGAACACAGGUGCCGCAUGGCUGUCGUCAGCUCGUGUCGUGAGAUGUUGGGUUAAGUCCCGCAACGAGCGCAAACUCCUUGUCAUUAGUUGCUACGAAAGGGCACUCUAAUGAGACUGCCGGUGACAAACCGAGGAAGGUGGGGAUGACGUCAAGUCCUCAUGGCCUUUAUGGGUAGGGCUUCACACGUCAUACAAUGGUCGGGACAGAGGGUCGCCAACCCGCGAGGGGAGCCACCCCAGAAACCCGAUCGUAGUCCGGAUCGCAGUCUGCAACUCGACUGAAGCCGGAAUCGCUAGUAAUCGCGGAUCAGCAUGUCGCGGUGAAUACGUUCCCGGGUCUUGUACACACCGCCCGUCACACCGCAGAGUGGGUUUUACCAGAAGUAGUUAGCCUAACCGUAAGGAGGGCGAUUACCACGGUAGGAUUCAUGACUGGGGUGAAGUCGUAACAAGGUAA